AUUGAACGCUGGCGGCAGGCCUAACACAUGCAAGUCGAACGAGUGGCGGACGGGUGAGUAAUGUCUGGGAAACUGCCUGAUGGAGGGGGAUAACUACUGGAAAAGGUAGCUAAUACCGCAUACCAUCGGAUGUGCCCAGAUGGGAUUAGCUAGUAGGUGGGGUAACGGCUCACCUAGGCGACGAUGCCUAGCUGGUCUGAGAGGAUGACCAGCCACACUGGAACUGUGACACGGUCCAGACUCCUACGGGAUGCAGCAGUGGGGAAUAUUGCACAAUGGGCGCAAGCCUGAUGCAGCCAUGCCGCGUGUAUGAAGAAGGCCUUCGGGUUGUAAAGCACUGUAAGUUGGGAGGCGUUACCAACAGAAUAAGCACCGGCUAACUUCGUGCCAGCAGCCGCGGUAAUUC
rnacentral:rRNA from 1 species